rnacentral:lncRNA from 1 species
UUUUGACUAUCGGAAUAUAAACGAUUGUAAGAAUAUAUCAUAAAUCUAUACAGAUGUCCUUUGAUUGCUCGUCAAAAUUCCUUUUGUCCCAGCCGGUAGGUCUCUAGACGUUACAGAGAACCCUGAACAACCCAAUCUGCUAAUCUCCGAUACCACUUUAUACUCACGACCUUGUAUCCACUGACUGUCUUGUUAGAUUAACCCAAAAAUUUUCAUUCACUCCGCAUACUCAAUCCUAUAGACACCCUUUUAAUUCUUCAAUCACAGACAUAA